rnacentral:tRNA from 1 species
GCGCGGUCGAGCCGCUGGUCGAGACGGUGGCCGGGUUCGCGGCGGCCGGUGACGAGGCCACCGCGGCGUUCGCCCGGUACGACCUCGCGGCCGCGUACCA